rnacentral:rRNA from 1 species
GCAGUCGUACGAGAACGCUCUAGCUUGCUAGAGCAAGUAAAGUGGCGCACGGGUGAGUAACGCGUGGGUAAUCUACCUUCGAAUUGGGGAUAACGUUGCGAAAGCGACGCUAAUACCGAAUAACAUCCAUUUGUCUUCGGACUUUUGGAUCAAGGGUGGCCUCUUCUUGAAAGCUACUGUUUGAAGAUGAGCCCGCGUACCAUUAGCUUGUUGGUGGGGUAAUGGCCUACCAAGGCGACGAUGGUUAGCUGGUCUGAGAGGAUGAUCAGCCACACUGGAACUGACACACGGUCCAGACUCCUACGGGAGGCAGCAGUGAGGAAUUUUGCGCAAUGGGGGAAACCCUGACGCAGCAACGCCGCGUGAGUGAUGAAGGCUUUCGGGUCGUAAAGCUCUGUCAAGUGGGAAGAACCUAUAUAAUGUUAAUAUCAUUAUAUACUGACGGUACCACUGAAGGAAGCACCGGCUAACUCCGUGCCAGCAGCCGCGGUAAUACGGGGG